rnacentral:rRNA from 1 species
AGAGUUUGAUUCUGGCUCAGAACGAACGCUGGCAGCGUGGAUUAGGCAUGCAAGUCGAACGAGAACCAGUGGUUUCAAGUUUUCGGACGAGAAACCGUUGGGGACAGUGGCGGAAGGGUGAGUAACGCGUGGGCAGUCUGCCCUUAAGUUCGGGACAACGGUUGGAAACGGCCGCUAAUACCGGAUGUGGUUAUCCGUCGCCUGACGCGUGGACUAAAGAUGGGGACCUUUCGGGGCCUGUCGCUUGAGGAGGAGCCCGCGUCCCAUCAGCUUGUUGGUAGGGUAACGGCCUACCAAGGCUUACGGGUAGCUGGUCUGAGAGGAUGAUCAGCCACACUGGGACUGAGACACUGCCCAGACUCCUACGGGAGGCUGCAGUCGAGGAUCAUUGGCAAUGCGCGAAAGCGUGACCAUGCGACGCUGCGUGGAGGAUGACGGCCUUCGGGUUGUAAACUCCUGUCAUUCGGGAAAAACGAGCGGGCCGUUAAUAUCGGUUCGCAGUGAUGGUACCGAAAGAGGAAGCCACGGCUAACUCUGUGCCAGCAGCCGCGGUAAUACAGAGGUGGCAAGCGUUGUUCGGAUUUACUGGGCGUAAAGCGUGCGUAGGCGGUUACGUAUGUCGGAUGUGAAAGCCCAUGGCCCAACCAUGGAAGUGCAUUCGAAACUGCGGAACUAGAGUGCAGGAGGGGAGAGCGGAAUUCAUGGUGUAGCGGCGAAAUGCGUUGAUAUCAUGAAGAACACCGGUGGCGAAGGCGGCUCUCUGGAAUGUUACUGACGCUGAGGCACGAAAGCUGGGGGAGCAAACAGGAUUAGAUACCCUGGUAGUCCCAGCCGUAAACGGUGCGCACUUGGUGUUGGGGGUGUUGACCCCCUCAGUGCCGGAGCUAACGCGUUAAGUGCGCCGCCUGGGGAGUACGGCCGCAAGGCUAAAACUCAAAGAAAUUGACGGGGGCCCGCGCAAGCGGAGGAGCAUGUGGCUUAAUUCGAUGCAACGCGAAGAACCUUACCAGGGCUUGACAUGGCGACCCUUCGGGGGUGGUAGCGAAAGUUACCUUUACGAUCACAGGUGCUGCAUGGCUGUCGUCAGUUCGUGCCGUGAGGUGUUGGGUUAAGUCCCGCAACGAACGCAACCCUUGUGGUUAGUUGCCACCGUCGGUGAUGAGCCGGCGAGCACUCUAGCCAGACUGCCCGUGCAAGCGGGAGGAAGGUGGGGAUGACGUCAAGUCAGUAUGGCCCUUACGCCCUGGGCUGCACACGUGCUACAAUGGUCGGUACAGAAGGAUGCAAUACCGCGAGGUGGAGCAAAUCCUCAAAGCCGACCCCAGUUCGGAUUGGAGUCUGCAACUCGACUCCAUGAAGUUGGAUCCGCUAGUAAUGGCGCAUCAGCUACGGCGCCGUGAAUGCGUUCCCGGGCCUUGUACACACCGCCCGUCACAUCAUGAAAGCCGUCUGCACCCGAAGUCACUGAGCUAACCUUUUAUUAGGAGGCAGGUGCCGAAGGUGUGGGUGGUGAUUGGGAUGAAGUCGAAACAAGGUA